rnacentral:ncRNA from 1 species
GAACUGUGCAGGAUUACAAGCGCAUGGCCUUGCAUCUGCAAGGUGUUGUGGCUGAAAGGCACCCUUCCCGAGGGUCCGGUCAAUGCCGAAAGAGCGAUUAUGGGACGAUCCGAAUCCUAUGCUCUUUCGGUUUUGCCAA